GCGGGCGUAGCUCAGUUGGUAGAGCGCCAGCUUCCCAAGCUGGAUGUCGCCGGUUCGAACCCGGUCGCCCGCU
rnacentral:tRNA from 1 species